rnacentral:rRNA from 1 species
CCCUUAGAUGUUCUGGGCCGCACGCGCGCUACACUGACGAAUGCAACGAGCUUAUAACCUUGGCCGAAAGGUCUGGGUAAUCUCCAAAUUUCGUCGUGAUGGGGAUAGAUUAUUGCAAUUAUUAAUCUUCAACGAGGAAUGCCUAGUAAGCGCAAGUCAUCAGCUUGCGUUGAUUACGUCCCUGCCCUUUGUACACACCGCCCGUCGCUCCUACCGAUUGAAUGGUCCGGUGAAGCGCUCGGACCGCGGCCUCUUGGCGGUUCGCUGUCGAUUGGCUGUGGGAAGUUCGUUAAACCUUAUCAUUUAGAGGAAGGAGAAGUCGUAACA